AUUGAACGCUGGCGGCAGGCUUAACACAUGCAAGUCGAGCGGAUGAAGGUAGCUUGCUACUGGAUUCAGCGGCGGACGGGUGAGUAAUGCUUAGGAAUCUGCCUAUUAGUGGGGGACAACGUUCCGAAAGGAGCGCUAAUACCGCAUACGUCCUACGGGAGAAAGCAGGGGACCUUCGGGCCUUGCGCUAAUAGAUGAGCCUAAGUCGGAUUAGCUAGUUGGUAGGGUAAAGGCCUACCAAGGCGACGAUCUGUAGCGGGUCUGAGAGGAUGAUCCGCCACACUUGGACUGAGACACGGCCCAGACUCCUACGGGAGGCAGCAGUGGGGAAUAUUGGACAAUGGGGGGAACCCUGAUCCAGCCAUGCCGCGUGUGUGAAGAAGGCCUUUUGGUUGUAAAGCACUUUAAGCGAGGAGGAGGCUACCUAGAUUAAUACUUUAGGAUAGUGGACGUUACUCGCAGAAUAAGCACCGGCUAACUCUGUGCCAGCCGCCGCGGUAACAC
rnacentral:rRNA from 1 species